rnacentral:rRNA from 1 species
GGCUAACUACGUGCCAGCAGCCGCGGUAAUACGUAGGGGGCAAGCGUUGUCCGGAAUGACUGGGCGUAAAGCGCGCGCAGGCGGUUUUUCGCGUCUGAGGUGAAAGGCCGAGGCUCAACCUCGGAAGUGCCUUGGAAACGGGAAGACUUGAGGGUCGGAGAGGCAAGGGGAAUUCCACGUGUAGCGGUGAAAUGCGUAGAGAUGUGGAGGAAUACCAGUGGCGAAGGCGCCUUGCUGGACGAUACCUGACGCUGAGGCGCGAAGGCGUGGGGAGCAAACAGGAUUAGAUACCCUGGUAGUCCACGCGGUAAACGAUGAGUGCUAGGUGUCGGAGGGUACCACCUCCGGUGCCGAAGGAAACCCAAUAAGCACUCCGCCUGGGGAGUACGGUCGCAAGACUGAAACUCAAAGGAAUUGACGGGGGCCCGCACAAGCAGUGGAGCAUGUGGUUUAAUUCGAAGCAACGCGAAGAACC